UACGGAGGGGGCUAGCGUUGUUCGGAAAUACUGGGCGUAAAGCGCACGUAGGCGGCGCCGCAAGUCAGGGGUGAAAUCCCGGGGCUCAACCCCGGAACUGCCCUUGAAACUGCAGUGCUUGAAUCUUGGAGAGGCGAGUGGAAUUCCGAGUGUAGAGGUGAAAUUCGUAGAUAUUCGGAGGAACACCAGUGGCGAAGGCGGCUCACUGGCUCGAUACUGACGCUGAGGUGCGAAAGCGUGGGGAGCAAACAGG
rnacentral:rRNA from 1 species